rnacentral:rRNA from 1 species
UGGGGAAUUUUGGACAAUGGGCGCAAGCCUGAUCCAGCAAUGCCGCGUGCAGGAUGAAGGUCUUCGGGUUGUAAACUGCUUUUGUACGGAACGAAACGGCUCUGGUUAAUACCUGGGGCUAAUGACGGUACCGUAAGAAUAAGCACCGGCUAACUACGUGCCAGCAGCCGCGGUAAUACGUAGGGAGCGAGCGUUAAUCGGAAUUACUGGGCGUAAAGCGUGCGCAGGCGGUGAUGUAAGACAGAUGUGAAAUCCCCGGGCUCAACCUGGGAACUGCAUUUGUGACUGCAUGGCUAGAGUACGGUAGAGGGGGAUGGAAUUCCGCGUGUAGCAGUGAAAUGCGUAGAUAUGCGGAGGAACACCGAUGGCGAAGGCAAUCCCCUGGACCUGUACUGACGCUCAUGCACGAAAGCGUGGGGAGCAAACA